GUUUCCAUGACGAAGUUUAUUCCCUUAAGGGACAUUCUCUCCCUAUCCUUACCUUGAUGAAUGUAUUUUUAAAGAAUUUACUGUGAGUUUCAAUGCUAAAAUUUCUUCCUAUAUGUAUCAUCCUAAAAUAGAGCCAUCCUGUGCAGUAUCUCACACCUGACCUCAAGUUGACCAACUUGACCAAAGUUCCACAGCCG
rnacentral:lncRNA from 1 species